UCUCCUGAAAUGCACAGCUGAGGGAAAGAAGAAUGUCAGAUGCCCCGCGAACGUGCAGAAGCUCCCAGUUGCAUCACCCUGGCGUGCCAGGUAUUGCAGCAAAUAGGAAAGGACCUUCUCUUCUUUGACCGCAUCUUCCUCCACCCUCUAUCGGUGCACCUCUCCACGGUCUGACCCCACUCAAUAAUCUCUUUGAAACUCUCUUUUUGCCUGCUGCCAUCCAUGUGAGAUGUGACUUGCUCCUCGUUGCCUUCUGCCAUGAUUGUGAAGCCUCCCCAGCCAUUUGGAACUGAACUUGACAUCAUCAGACAGUAAAUCAAGAGGUACUGACAACUGAGACUGAGUGAUGGUCCCUGCCUAGGAUUUGGAAUCUUUGCAUGAAAUAGGGACUCUAGCCACCAGCGACAAAGAAGUCAGGGAGACUGC
rnacentral:lncRNA from 10 species